rnacentral:rRNA from 1 species
UACGUAGGGGGCUAGCGUUGUCCGGAAUCAUUGGGCGUAAAGAGCGUGUAGGCGGCCCGGUAAGUCCGCUGUGAAAGUCGGGGGCUCAACCCUGGAAGGCCGGUGGAAACUGUCGGGCUAGAGUCCGGAAGAGGCGAGUGGAAUUCCCGGUGUAGCGGUGAAAUGCGCAGAUAUCGGGAGGAACACCAAUGGCGAAGGCAGCUCGCUGGGACGGUACUGACGCUGAGACGCGAAAGCGUGGGGAGCAAACAGG